AUUGUACUGAAGCUAUUGUGUAGAAAUGCAGUGAGUGGUGAUGUUAUCUGUAGUUAAUACUUUCUCAUUACCCCACUCAGAUUAACGUGAGUUAGUUUCCAGCCAGGCUUCAGCAGGCUGACUGGAUCAUAUAAUCUCAUCGCACACUUCUGGCAUAUCUAGACUGAGAGAGAUGGAAGCAGACAGAACAUCAGGGAAUGAAAGUGAGUUAGAUAUAUCGAGAGUGAGCCAAACUGAGAGAGACACAGCCUGGCCGUGUGAAUGCAUGGACAUUUUGUGGCCUCAUUUCGUGGCAUAGAGGAAUCGAUGACACUAUGGAUUGGCUGUGCAGUAUGUGGGCUGUUGGAUUACUGCAUGUGUUCUGCUGCAGCAGAUUUCUGCUGACUGAAAGGGCAAAGAAGACACGGGAUGAUCUAUGCACGCCAUUAACUGCCAGCACUGGAGUUAACAGAGACUGUGAUGUCCUCAACCCAAAAACCGCAGAUUCGAAUAAUAUGGAACGUGACAGGGACCUGACAAACUAUUCUUGA
rnacentral:lncRNA from 1 species